GGUUAUUUAGAACCCACUUGUACUACAUUAUCUAAUUUAUUGUGUCUUAAUUUUUUUAAAAUAAAGUUCUAUAAAGAAUCAAAAGAUAGAUUCCCAUCCAUAAAAGUCUAUAUUACUGGAAAAAUACCUCAUUUCACAAAAAUAACUUCAGAGAAAUAACUUUUUUGUGAGUGCUAAGUAAUUCCAGAACUUUGUGCUAGUAAAAAAAAAUUGUACUAGAAAAGGCAUUCUAACAAAUAGAUCCACAGGAGCAACUGGCAUAUUCAUCUGGUAAAUCCUUACUUAAGAAAUGCAAGGACCUGUAUCUUAAUGCUAGCAUAACAAUACUAAUAUGAAUUUAAUGAACUGGAUAUGAAAAGUAGCUCAAGUUCAUAACUGGACAAUGAAGAUAUGAAGUGGCUGUUGACAAUAGUCAGGAGGGGGAAAUGAAGGAAAAACAAAACAAAAUGAAGGCAGUUGUCACACUGUUAAGUAAUCAACCCACCUAAAGCAAAACAAAGUGUAUCAGAUGGAAAGGAACUUAGCAAAGGAUGCAGUAGUUAAUUUCAAAGUCAUGAAUAUAAAAGCCAAAGAAGACUGAAUAUAAGUAACUGGAGUCCCAGAAGAAAAGAUGGAACAUGAUUCUCAGAGGUUGAUCUGGACUGAAGGACAGUUGAUAGUAACAAUUGCAUUGGCCUCUCAAAAGAGUCUUGUAAGAGUUGGGAGAGAUUUUCUGUAUUUAAACCAACUGUACUGCAAAUCAAAUUCUGAUCUCCAAAAGCAGAACUUUAGGACAGUUAAGGAUAUCUGAGUAUGUCUUGUUUGGAGGUGAUGUAAUAGGUGUGAUAAUAUAAUUGUAUUUGCUUUGGAAGAUGCACUUAUUUUCAAAAGCAGCUGAGUUUCUUAAGGAUAUGAUAAAACCUGCAGUUUCAGGGGUUUAAAGAUACAUUAUAUGUGAAUAGAUAUACACAUAUAAAAAUGGCAUAACAAAAUAUUAAUACCUUAAAUCCAAGUAUGGGACGUACUUCCAUGUUUAUGUGUUAAAGUUUACAUGGUAAAACAGGAACAACACACACCUACACAUUUUGCUGUAAUUUAUAUAACAUUACAAUUCUCAUGACUUUUGGGGGGGGAAAUACCCAUACACAGUCCCAUAUUCAUUCAGCUCUAGUUGUUGUAAAAAUUAAGUUUAUAGUGGUGGCAUAUGAGACUCAAGGUUUAGUACUCUGCCUGGUAAAUGUCUAUUUCCUUUAACCCUGAAAUGUGUCCCUCCACUCUAAAUAGGAUUACAAUUUGUCAAGUAACAAAUUCAACCCAUCUAUGGAGGUAUACCACAUUUUUAAAAGGGUGUUCACAGAAUUUUUCCUUAUUCAGGUUGCCUCUAAGACACAUAUCACUCCAGGUCUUUAUGCAAGGAGCCCUCAGCAUCAUAAAGGCCUGGCUCCUCUCAGUCAGCAACUCCAUCCGAUGGCGGCGUGAGAAACGCUCCCCCGUGUGCCGCCUGCUCACAAAGCCUUUUGAAAACGGUUCAUCCUGAAGUGAUCAAUACUUACAUAUCCCAUACCAUUUUUAUCUCUUGGUGUUCCAAAUGUCUGUCUGAACCAGGGGGAUGUAUUGCUGCCACUCUUAGGGUACACUGUGGCAGUUUCUUAUUUACUUGUGAAGAAACCAGAAUUUUUUACAUUUAUUUUUUAAAAUGGUCACACAUAAAAGAACUGAGAAAAAAAGCCAUACAGUCGUGAUGGUUAAUGUAUAAUGUUUAUAAAUCAGUGAAAACAAAGUAUUAGGUAUGUUGUUGCCUUCUCCAAAAUGUUCUCACUUCUUGUCACAAACCUGUAAGCAACUGAGCAGCUUCUGUCUGUAUCUAAAGUGAAAAACACAUGUUACAUAUACAUGGUGCAGCCUAAUUUAUAAAGCUUAAGUUUAUAGACUAGUUUCUGAGCGUUUCAGGAUAACAAAGAUAGGGCAUGGUAAGAAUAAGGUCUCCUGAUAGCGAUGACUAGAUGAGCUUGAUUCUAAGAGAACUCUAGUUCAUUUCCUUAACCCUCCACACCCUGUCCCCAAUCUUACUCCCCUGCAGUGUCAGAAAUUGAACCAGGUCCUUGUGCAUGUUCGUAAGCACCUAUCACCAAGCUGCGUUUUAUGUUUUAGAAACAACCUCUGAUGAGAUAUACACUGUAAAUGUACAUCAGUUCUACACUGCAGCAAGCAGCUUCCAGCUGGCAUUUGAUGAUAGUCACUAAGGAGCACUCAUGGUAAAGUGUAAAGGUGAAUAUAGAAAUGAGCACUUGGAUGAGCUUUCCACAACACUAUGCAUUUAAACAGUUUCUCUUUUAAGGAUGUUCUCAGUUCAUUCAUUUACUAAUGCCUGAAAGAAAGCCUAUCUGCCUUACUUUAUUAUAGAUAUUUUACCUGUUUAUCUUCUUCUGUGUGUGCUGGAUAACCCUUGGCUUUUACCAACCAGAACGCAGCAAGCUUUUUGUUGUUUAGCUUCAAGUAUGUCUUUCCUAAAAGCAGCAAGUUUUUGCUGUAGAAGUUUGGAUCCACUGUACAUAAAAAGGGCAAACAAAAUCAGCUCCAGAGAAAUAAGUGUCUUUAUUUUUAUAGUUUUAAUAUUUUGGUCUGAAUUCUAAUAAAAAUUGUGUGAUUAAACAUUGAUUAGGCUAAUAUAGUUCUUUUUUUGUUCAAAUGUUUUUAUCUCAAAAAAAUCCCUAAAGUAAUUGUGAUGUAUUGAAUGUACAUAUGGACUGUGCACAUCAUUAUACCAAGAUCUCACUUUAAAGUAUCUUCAUGCUGAUAGAACAUGGGCUAUAUAAGAACUAUUUUCUUUUUAAACCACCCAUCAUUAUUACAUUCCAAUUGCCUAGAACAGUGUAGGGAAAAUAACAUCUGUUCAUUGAGUUAGUGCAUGAAUGAAAUCAUGGUUAACAUGAUUUAUCUUCAUUUGCUAAAUGUCUCCUAUACUUAGGCACAGAGGAAAACAUGAACACAACUAAAUGGUUUACCAAGUAUAAACUUAACAUUGCUAUAAGAAGCCACAUAAGAAAACAACGAAGUAAGAGUUACGAAUCUUGGAGGAUGAACGGGAGUUUGAACAGGAAAAGCUGAGAAUAUUCUUGGUUGAAAGAAAAGUGCAAACAAAGCCCAGGAAAUUGAGAGUAGACAGUGUUAUUAGAAGCUGGGAAGAGGAGGAAGAGACAAAGGCCGGAUAAGGGAACCACAGAAUCCAGCACAGUAGGGAACUAGGACAGCUUACUCAACACUUGUAUGUAGACUUCAGCCUUUCCCAAGACAGAGAUGAAUGCCUGAGUCAGAGCUGACUGCUUCGAUUUGGUUUACAUCUUGUAUGAAUAUACUGGAGUGCCAGUGCUCCAAAAAUAUGUACAAUUAUAUGUUAAAUAAUUUGAAGAAACAUGAAUAAAGUUCAAAAUAAUCCUAAUUUUUUCUUGAGACAGAAUUCUGUAGUGUACUCCAAAUGAGCCAGGAACUUACUAAACUCAAUGGCAUAGUGUCUCGGCCUCCUGAGUGCUGAUAACCACAAACACACACCAUCACACUCAGCUCUCAUUCCCCUGACUCUUCACAUAGUUUCCUCCUGGUAAUCUUGGUCUUUCUGUAUGCCAAGCAUGCUUUCUGAGGCUAGGAAUGGCACUUAGUAAUAGAACACAUGCCUGGCACAUGAGUUUAAAAAAGAAUAAAGCCUACUUUUUCCUGGAUACAAUUUUUGCUUAAAACUCAAAGUCCUUUAAUUUCGUUAAGCAUUUUAUGGUUAAGUACACUGAUUUAAGUAUCCACUUCUUCAUCUAGGAAGUCGUCCAAGUACUGUAUGUAAGCAAUACAAAUAUAAUCACGAGCCAAAAGGGGGAAAACGUCCCACCUUAUCCACAUGUACAGGUUCACACACACACACACACACACACACACACACACGAGAAUAAGGAGGCUGCUAGGGGAGGUGUGGAUGACAGGCUAUGGGAGGGGCUUUGGACUAGAACUAGGGCAAUCUUUAACUUAGGAAAAGUGACUGCUCAUAAAUAAAUCAGAUGUGAGUGAACCACCAAGGACAUGACUCUAGGAGCAAAGGAACAACCCCAGUGUUAGCAGCUUUACUCGGGACUGCCAACCCUUAAAUGUCCUAAGGUCCAAUUUUACUUCUGAAUUACAGUUUUAAACCCCCUUGAGAUGACUUCAUAUCAUGAUAUAUAAAUUAGUUUGAUCAGGGAAAAUAUCAAUAAAAGGAAACAGUGAACAAAACUUUAUGAGUUACAUAUUUAACAUUAAACCAUAGUUCUUUAAAGUUAUCACUAAAUUGUUUAAGUUUAUGUAUAUAGGACCUCAGAUUAAUAAAGAAUGUGUCUUAGAUUUCUGUUAUAAGAAAUUGUGCAUGUGUCACAUGCCUAUAAUUCCAGUGUUUGGAUGCUGAGGCAGGAGGAUCAAUACUUUGGGGCCAGCUUGAGCUAUAUAUUGACAACUAUUAAAAAAAGAUUUUAAAAACUCAAAGGUAUUUGGAGUGGCUUUUAUGGUACAAGUAGUCAAAGACAUGUCUCUUAUUAUGUUUCUUUCCUUGGGACUGACCUGAGGGCCUUGUGCAUGUCACCAAAGCACUGUGCCAUCAAGUUAUAACCCCAGUGUCAGUAUUUUUUUUAUAAAGGUUCCAGAAAUAUGUAGGACAGGAAAGCAACAGUGUUAUAGGAACAACCAUUUUUAUCACAAUAAGAAAAACAUUAAAUUAUUUUACAGUGGAAUAUAAUAUCCUGCAACAUACCAAAAAUUAGCAUGGUUUUAAAUAGUCUUCAUUUAGGUACUUCUAAUUAACUAUAAAAUACCAAGUUAAACAAUUUGUCAGAGCUUCCUGAUAAAGAAUUAUAUUAAAUGAAGAGAACACUGCAGAAUUGAAACUCUGAAUGUAAGUGCAAUUCCUAUUUGUUAAAAAGUUAAAAUUUGGUGCUAGAGAGGGAGCUCAUCCGGUUUUAAGUUACUGGACGCUCUCCCAGUAGCCCUGGGUGAAUUCCCAGCACCAACAUGGCAACUCACAACUGUCUGUUAACCCCAGUCCUGAGAGGAUGCCUUCUUCUGGUCUCCAAGAGCACCAGUCAUACACUGACAUACAUUCAGGAGGAAUACCCAAAUACAUACUUUUUUUUUUCUUUUUAGUUUAAAUUUGUUUUACAUUAUACAAUGUGAAAGAUACAGCAAAUUCUUGAUUUAAAAUAUUCUAUGACAUAGUAAACACUUAGACAAUAUUAUAUUAAUAGCUGGAGUAAAAGUAUUUUACCUUCUUCUGCUUUGUGAAAGUAUCUUAAGGCCUGUUAAGAAUACAAAGAAU
rnacentral:lncRNA from 1 species